CCUUUCUGUGAGAAAUGCUUCCUCACUGAACUUCAUUUUUAGCUUCUGUUUUUCAUUUCUAACGUCAUAGUUGAGUGGUCAUUGGUCUUGUGACUCCUGGCCCAGAACAGCAAGGCCAUGCUAAGAGUGCCCCUGGCUACGAAAGUACAGUGAAAAAGCAUAGGAUCAUUGGAAUUCCGUCCCAGGGAUGUGAACAGAUCAUUAGAGUGAAAACCAGAGGGAGUGAUUUGGACAACUGAGAGUUUUAGAAACAUUAAAAGAUAAAUAGAACUUUCUAAUUGACCGGAUGUGAGGAGAAGGAAUGGGUGAAGUCAGAAAUGCUGCUUAGACUUUAGCUUGGGUUGACUGGAUAAAUAUGGUUUUCAAGUUUACAUUGUCAUAGGUUAGCUGGGUAAGAGUAUUGGAAAAUAAUGAUUGCAUGAGGACUAUGGUAAACUAGCAGGCACUUGGUCUUUCUGAAUGGGGGUUAGCUCAGCUAUAGUUGAUACUAUCACGGGGUAUGUGGAUCCCAGGCUGCUAGAUAUUUUAGUAUUUAAAAAUAGGUCAAGACUUUAAUAUGCAGUUUCCCAAUUUAUAAAUGCUGGCUUAAAAAAAAAUGGCAAGUUGUAUUUUGACCCCAGAUAAUCACUUUUCCCCUUGAGGAUAUUCUUUCCCAUUAUGAAAUAAGAUUUUUCUAUAUGAAAUUACAUUUACACGUCACCUUCAAGAAUGAAUUUGAAGCACGUUACACAGAGGCAAAGCAGGUACUGGGCUGUGCCAUCCAGGCCACAGGCCUUAGAGCAGUUCUGGGAAGGGGCAUGUGGGGGUUAUAAGUGCCAGCCAGCCUGUGCUAUCACCCGCCUUUUCUUAGGCAUGAAUUGUGAUCUCCAUCCAUUAACCUGGCACAGCCUCACCUAACUUCAUUUUUAGCUUCCGUUUUUCAUUUCCAGAUUCAUAGUUGAGUGGUCAUUGGCCUGAUGACCCUUGGCCCAGAAUGGCAAGGCUAUGCCAGGGGUACACCUGGCUAUGAAGUAAGAGAUGGAGUUGGCCCUGCUAACUAACUCUUUCUGUGAACUGUUCAUGAGUCUUCAUCUGGAAGUGGUUCAUCCAUACCCAAUCCUUUGGUGAUGGAGUAAUGUACUGGGAGGGGUGGGGACUCCUGAGGCUCUUCCCAGCAGAGCAGCUGCCAGAGAGAGGAAGAUAAGCCUCACUGCCAUCAGAGUUAGGACCAGGACCUCUGUUUCUUGUUAUAUGUUGCCUCUGGAGCUUUUGAGUGUGCACUGGGACAGAAGACUAGAAACCUUGGCGGUUGUUUGAGAAAUGAGUUCCCCUAAAACAGUAGCUAUGGCUAUUUAGCAUAUGUUUGUUGUGUCCCCUUAAGUACUAAGCCCUGUGCUGGGCCCCAGGAACACAAAGGUGAAUAAGGUAGAGAUAUCCCUGCUGUCAUGGUAAUUUAUUUCUUGCCUCCUUCUAUUCAUUCAUUUCAUGAGCUUUGCUGUUUGAGUACUAUAUGCCAUGCACUGGACUGGCUAUCGGGAAUUUUAAAAAUUGAUUAAUAUGAGUCUAUUCAAGGAUAAGCAGAGAAAUUAUAAUACCUUCAUAUUUACUCUGUAAGUGAGAUCUCCUGCAAGUGCUGUGAGUCCACAGAUGGUAAGUGCUGUGGGAGAUACUGAAUGCAGAAAAGGGCUCAUUCCCUGUCCUCAGGGAGGUUAUAGUCUGCCUAGGAGAAGAAAACCACACCACCUCCAGAAGCAUAUCCUGCUAUUUAAAUGUUUCACUUUUUCAUUAUUUGUAUGUUAAACUCCAAGUGCUUUUGUAUUCCCAGCAGAGUACUGCCACUCAAGUGCUAAUAAAUUGUUGGUUGAAUUAAUGCAUAAAUAACUGUUCAUCACAAUGCAGAAAUUGACAUGUUGCUAUAAUAGAAAGUGGUUCUUCUAGAAACAGUGAUAUUUGAGCCAGGCCUGGGAAACUAGAUGGCAGUUCCACAGUAGAAGAGAAGAGGCAUGCCAAACUCCAGAAAUGACCACUUGUUAAGCCCAGGAAACAACCUGGAUUCUGCCUGGUGAUGAGCCUACGGCACAUGGAGAAAUUAGGAGAACGGAUGCAGGCAGAUAGUGGAUGGGGCUUCAACUGCCAGUCAGGGGACUUUAGAGUUUAUUUAGCAGGUAGUGGAAUUUUUAAAGGGGAUUUCCAGAGCUGGGCAUGGUGAUGCCUGUCUGUGGUCCUGGCUACUAAGGCGGCUGAGACGAG